rnacentral:piRNA from 1 species
UGGGCACUGAGAAACGAGCGGACUGC